rnacentral:rRNA from 1 species
GACGUAGGAUGCAAGCGUUGUCCGGAUUUAUUGGGCGUAAAGAGUUCGUAGGCGGUUACUUAAGUCUGGUGUUAAAUACUGGAGCUCAACUCCAGCAUGGCAUUGGAAACUGGGUGGCUAGAGUGCGGUAGAGGUCUCGGGAAUUCCAGGUGUAGCGGUGAAAUGCGUAGAUAUCUGGAGGAACACCGGUGGCGAAGGCGGCAUCCUGGACCGGUAUUGACGCUGAGGCGCGAAAGCUAGGGGAGCAAACGGG